GAUUUCUGGCGAACCGUUGCGGCCCGCGCCCGUCUCGGGCGUGUGUGCCGUGUCGUGUUUGUCAUCCUUCCAGAAAGCUGCGUCUACCAUUCAUUUGGCCGGACGUACGCGAUCUGGAUCGAUUACUUUGAAAAAAUUAGAGUGUUUAAAGCAGGCUUAUGCUGUGAAUACAUUAGCAUGGAAUAAUAAUUUAGGACUUCGGUUCUAUUUUGUUGGUUUCUAGGACUGAAGUAAUGAUUGAUAGGGACAGUUGGGGGUGCUAGUAUUCCGCGGCCAGAGGUGAAAUUCUUGGAUUCGCGGAAGACUAACUACUGCGAAAGCAUU
rnacentral:rRNA from 1 species